rnacentral:rRNA from 1 species
CCUACGGGAGGCAGCAGUGGGGAAUUUUGCGCAAUGCUCGUAAGAGUGACGCAGCGACGCCGCGUGAAUGACGCAAGCCUUCGGGUCGUACAGUUCUUUCGACAGGGAAGAAAAUUCCUAUCAGUAACUGUGUAUGUCUUGCCGGUACCUGUAUAAGCCGCCCCGGCUAACUCCGUUCCAGCAGCCGCGGUAAUACGGAGGGGGCGAGCGUUGUUCGGAGUGACUGGGCGUAAAGAGCACGUAGGCGGUGUUGUAAGUCAUUAGUCAAAGACUAGAGCUCAACUUUAGGAAGGCUAGUGAUACUAUAAUACUAGAGUAUCAGAGAGGAUUGCAGAAUUCCUGGUGUAGCGGUGAAAUGCGUAGAUAUCAGGAGGAAUACCGUUAGCGAAGGCGGCAAUCUGGCUGGAAACUGACGCUGAGGUGCGAAAGCGUGGGUAGCAAACAGGAUUAGAGACCCGGGUAGUC